rnacentral:rRNA from 1 species
ACGCACGCUGGCGGCGUGCUUAACACAUUCCAGUCGAACGGAAAGGCCCUGCUUUUGUGGGGUGCUCGAGUGGCGAACGGGUGAGUAACACGUGAGUAACCUGCCCUUGACUUUGGGAUAACUUCAGGAAACUGGGGCUAAUACCGGAUAGGAGCUCCUGCUGCAUGGUGGGGGUUGGAAAGUUUCGGCGGUUGGGGAUGGACUCGCGGCUUAUCAGCUUGUUGGUGGGGUAGUGGCUUACCAAGGCUUUGACGGGUAGCCGGCCUGAGAGGGUGACCGGCCACAUUGGGACUGAGAUACGGCCCAGACUCCUACGGGAGGCAGCAGUGGGGAAUAUUGCACAAUGGGCGGAAGCCUGAUGCAGCAACGCCGCGUGCGGGAUGACGGCCUUCGGGUUGUAAACCGCUUUCGCCUGUGACGAAGCGUGAGUGACGGUAAUGGGUAAAGAAGCACCGGCUAACUACGUG